ensembl:lncRNA
GGAGGGAGAGCGGACUCAGUCCAGGGAAGGGGCUGCUCGGGUCUGAAGCGGUCUCUCUGCCUCCCCUGCAGGUCUGGGAGGGGGUUUGAAGCCGCAGAAGCCAGUACCUUCUCCAGCCAUCCAGUGGGGACCGAAGCCUCCGAAAGCGGGUAUGAGUUAGUCUGCCUGACCCCCCACCACAUCAGGGUCACUCCUCCAUCUCCCUUGUCCCCCAGGCUGUCUCAGGUGUUCAGGCACCUUAAGACCAGGAAGUCCCUCUCGGAGUCUACCCUUGUUCUCUCUUGCUUCUUUCUUGCCUCCUUUAUUCUGGUUCCAUUCCCUGCAGACAGGGAGAGUUCCUUCCUCCUUAGAGAACCUAAGGUCCAGACUGGGCCUGCAAGGAGCUGGGAGAGUCUGGGUCCUCCCCAGGGAUCUGCAUUUUCCUCACAGGGUACCAGCCUGCGCUCGGCUACAGACCAGGAGUGGAACUGGGUGAGGAGGCCCUCUGCCUGCGUCCUCCCUUUCCCCUCCUCCCCUCCCCUCUUCCUCCCCUCCCCUCCCUGUCCUCCCCCAGCCCAGGAAGCACAGAGGCAAACCGAGCUCUCCGACCCCUGUGUCUUCUCCCCAGGCUUCAGCGGUGGCUUUAAGCCCCAGAAAGUCGGUGAGCCCCCCGGACCCCCACCUUGGGCACGAGCUGCAGCUCCCUCAGGACGAGCCCUCUGUGUGUGUCUGUCUGUCCUCUGUGUGUGUGUGUGUGUGUGUGUGUGUGUGUGUGUGUCUGUCUGUCUGUCCGUAUUCCCCAGCACUUAUGUACUGUGCCCUCGGCCACCGUGGUGGCCAGAGUCGGUGGGAUCCUGCCCCAGGCGAGGGUAGUGACAGACUGAGGCAGGUGGAAAGGGACAUGCCCAGCGGGAGUCCAGGACGGCUUCCGGAAGGUGGGGCACCGGGUGAGCUGGCCGAUGGUAGGGAAUGAGGGGCUCCUCUCCAGGUUGCCUCUGAGUCUGUCUGUCUGGUCCUCCCCGUUUCGUGCCCUGUCUGUGAGCAGGUUACCCUGGCCCCACCCUCAGUGCUGCCCCCACCCCGACCAGCCCCUCUCCCGCAGGUUUUGGUUACAGGAAUGGUGCUCUGGGAGCUGGGCUCUUCCUGGAAGCCCGCCCACAGCCAGGUGCCUGGGGUGCUGGGUGGGCCGGGCUGGGGGCCCUGGGCUCAUGGGCUGCUCUUGCCUCUGACUUUCUCUUUCCUCCUCCAGGGUUCCCUGGGGCUGAUGGCUUUAGGAAUGGUGAGUUGGACCCAGGGGACAGGGUGCAGGGGGCGAGGGGAAGGGAUAUGCAGGGGCUGGGCAGGCGUCACCUGGGUCUCUUACAGGGUUCAGGGGGGAGGAAGCACUGGUGCACCCCGAAGUGGCAGCUCCAGCCCCUGAAGGAAAUGGUAAGAAACGUUUAGGGAGCAGAGUGGACCUGAGCCAGGGUGGUGGGGCCAGGCCCUGUGGGUGAGGGGCUCUGAGACCCCAGAAAGAUGGGGCUUCCUGAACCUCCUGCUGCUGUCAGCAGGGGUUUCCCAAGCCAGCUCUGCUCCUUCAGGUCAGGCCAGGGCCCUGAGGGGCUCUCCCUGGCCCUCCCUGCACUCCUGGGGGGCUGCCCUGAAGGCCAGAUAUGGAGCUGGAAAUGCACUUCCAGAGGUCCAGAGCCAGCCAGGUAAUGGGGUGUGUGGGAGAGUGUUGUUGGGCGUUGGGUGGCCGUGGGAAAUGGGUCCUGGGCCCUGGGUGCAGCCGAACCGCCCCCCUUCCAGCCCUGCAGAGCUGGAGAGAGUAGGAUGGGUCCGGGGCAUAGGCGGGAAGGACAGGGCUGGCAAACAGGCGGCAGAGCAGGGGCCCCUGAGUGAGAGCCCAAGUGCUGGACGAGCCGGGGAUGCCCCGGAAGGAGGGCUGCGGGGACACAGUGCUCUCACCUGUCCUCCCACCAGGGCCCUAUGGGCAGCCAAGGCCACAGGUGGGCCCUGGGCCCUUCGGUGAGUGGGGGUCUCCCAGGGCCUAGAGUAAAGCUGGGGUGGGCAGGACUCCAAAGUCCUGGGGUGCCCUGGGUGCCCUGGCUUGUCUGGGUGCCUUAGGGGGCCCUGGGGUGAAGAGAGGCAGCUGUGGCCCACUGGGAGGUGGCUGUGGAGGUGAGAGGGAACACGGGGCUCCUGUCCCCCACUCACCCUGGGCCACCUUGUCACCCCAGCUCCUGGGAGGGGUAUCAGGCCCUCAGGCCCCCUGUAGGUGUCUGCUGGGCGACUGGCCUCAGAGACCAGAGGCGGGAGAGGGUUCACGGCCCUCAGGAAGUGAGGAGGGGCCGGAGCUCACCAGGGCUCUGCUCUGCCUCUUCCCAGGACGCUGCCCUCUCGGGAAGUGCUGAGCUCCGCUGAGAUCCACGGCCUGUCCUGAAGGCCUGUGUUGGAGCCUGGUCAGCUAGGCAAGACUGGCCGUACCCUGGGGCUCAGUCUCUGGCCUGGGGGCUCCCGUGGCUGGAAGUGUCAAUAAAGGCAGUGAGCUUCCCUGUCUGUCCCUGUGU